GAUGAACGCUGGCGGCGUGCCUAAUACAUGCAAGUCGAGCGAACAGACGAGGAGCUUGCUCCUCUGACGUUAGCGGCGGACGGGUGAGUAACACGUGGAUAACCUACCUAUAAGACUGGGAUAACUUCGGGAAACCGGAGCUAAUCCCGGAUAAUAUAUUGAACCGCAUGGUUCAAUAGUGAAAGACGGUUUUGCUGUCACUUAUAGAUGGAUCCGCGCCGCAUUAGCUAGUUGGUAAGGUAACGGCUUACCAAGGCAACGAUGCGUAGCCGACCUGAGGGGGUGAUCGGCCACCCGGGAACUGAGACACGGUCCAGACUCCUACGGGAGGCAGCAGUAGGGAAUCUUCCGCAAUGGGCGAAAGCUUGACGGAGCAACGCCGCGUGAGUGAUGAAGGUCUUCGGAUCGUAAAACUCUGUUAUUAGGGAAGAACAAAUGUGUAAGUAACUAUGCACGUCUUGACGGUACCUAAUCAGAAAGCCACGGCUAACUACGUG
rnacentral:rRNA from 1 species